UUAUUUGGUCAAUUUCUUGCAGAUAAAUUUUAUAAGUUUUAAAUAUUUCUCAUCUGAUCUCAAGCCCAACCACAUUGAAUACCAAGGGUCUGGUAUCCUCUUUCUUUGAGUUGUUCAUCAUGGAAGUAGGUGGAUGUUGUUGAGUUGCAAUAUUUGGAUUAAAAAUAUCUAGAACAGCUGCUGAGUCAUACCCCCACCCCCACCCCCCACUUGACUUCCAGAAGCAUUUCCUACACAGAAAUUCUGAGCAUGCAUCUGUUGCAGUCUACUUUUGAGAUGUGAGUGUUGUUCGUUUAGCAAUGGUGAGUAUGUGAAAGUCGGAUUGGCUGAACUAGACCACUGGUGUUUUAACGCAACUUAUGAGGUAACUCUGAAGUGAUAUUUUCUUUCAUUGGAAUGGAAUUAACGAUUCCAUUCCUUCCUCAAUUCCGUCAUGCCAAACACUAUUUUCUAUUCUUAUUUGUUAAACAAAAGGACUGCAGUAUUCAGGUUCUGCUUGGGAUGAACUGAAUCAUAUACGGCAGGCUAUAGCAUUUCUGGUAAAGUUUCUUUUAUUAUAUAAAAAUUUAGUCUUUUUGGUUUUAAAGAUUUUAUUUUAAUCAGUUUUAAUCCCAUUCAUGUUAUACAUCAAAAGCCAAAGAAAACACUGGACGAAAUAAGUCAUGACCUCUCCCUAGUGAUGACAAG